GUGGCCAGCCACCCGGCUCCACUGACUGGCGGUUUCGUGUCUGGCUCCCUGAGGUCCAGAUGGUCCCAACACGUCCCUGGGGGGUAAGCAGACUCCUGCCCAAACUUGAACUCACAGCUCCAGCCCCCAGAGGCUCCGAGCCAGGACCCCAAAGGAGGGAGAGCUGGCCCCAUGGACUGCCUCACCCUGGCUCUCCUGCCCUGUGGCUUCUGGUUGAAUUCAGCCAAUGGGAGGCACCAGCAGAUAAUCUGAAGAUGGGAGGAGAGAGAGGCACCUCCAGCAACCUUGCUAGACCACAGUGCGGUGGGAGGAAGUCCCAUGAAGAAAUAAAGAACAUGUGGUGAAUCACAGAGAAGUGGCUGAAAAGAUUCAAGCCUCAACCUUGGUCCUCCCUAGUCACAUGACCACAGGCAAACCUCUUCUCUCUCAGCCUCAGUUUUUGCAUCAGUGCAAUAGGAAUGGUAUCUGCCAUGCUAACCUCACAGGACUGCUGUGUGUUCAGAUGAAUCAGGUAUGUGAAAGACACUUCUGCAAGCGGGAAAGAGGUGUGCAAAGGCAAUUUGCUUUUACAGAACUUAUAUUACUGUCAUUUCCCAUCGUUAUUUUAAUGCUCAAAAGGUUUGGGAGACAUUUCUGUAACUGAGGUGUUCAUGGUAAGCCCACACUCACUCCUGCUUGGAAAAGGUUUUACAUAGACUGAGGAGACCUGAGGCAGUUGCUGAGCUGCUUAGAACAGAGUCUCUGGGUCACAGCCAUCCCAUUACUGGGCAUAUCCCCAAAGGAUUGUAAAUCAUGCUGCUAUAAAGACACAUGCACACGUAUGU